GACGAACGCUGGCGGCGUGCCUAAUACAUGCAAGUCGAACGCAGUGGGGCCGGGUUAGUAACACGUGGGUAACCUCCCAUCAGAGGGGAUAACACUUGGAAACAGGUGCUAAACCGAUACUGAUGGAUGGACUCGCGGUGCAUUAGCUAGUAGGUGGGGUAACGGCUCACCAAGACCACGAUGCAUAGCCGACCUGAGAGGGUGAUCGGCCACACUGGGACUGAGACACGGCCCAGACUCCUACGGGAGGCAGCAGUAGGGAAUAUUCGGCAAUGGACGAAAGUCUGACCGAGCAACGCCGCGUGAGUGAAGAAGGUUUGCGGAUCGUAAAACUCUGUUGUUAGAGAAGCGGUAUCUAACCAGAAAGCCACGGCUAACUACGUGCCAGCAGCCGCGGUAAUUC
rnacentral:rRNA from 1 species